rnacentral:misc_RNA from 1 species
UCUCCGUAGGUGAACCUGCGGAGGGAUCAUUACAGAGUAUCAUGCCCUUCGGGGUAGAUCUCCCACCCUGUGUAUUAUAUACCUUUUGUUGCUUUGGCGGGCCGCCUCGGCCACCGGCUCCGGCUGGUGCGUGCCCGCCAGAGGACCCCAAACUCUGAAUGUCAGUGCCGCCUGAGUACUAUCUAAUAGUUAAAACUUUCAGCAACGGAUCUCUUGGUUCUGGCAUCGAUGAAGAGCGCAGC